GCGGGUGUAGUUUAAUGGACAAGAUAAAAAAAGUUAUUGACUUGUUGUGGGUUCGAUUCCCAUCACCCGCUCCA
rnacentral:tRNA from 1 species